rnacentral:precursor_RNA from 1 species
AUGACAUUCCAAGGACGCUCUCUGUUUUUGCAUAUAUACGCAUGAGUUGUGUGUGUUGAUGUCGUCUGACAGGCUGCCUUAGGAAUUAAAC